rnacentral:rRNA from 1 species
CCUACGGGCGGCAGCAGUAGGGAAUAUUGCACAAUGGGGGAAACCCUGAAGCAGCAACGCCGCGUGGAGGAUGAAGGUUUUCGGCUUGUAAACUCCUUUUGUUAGAGAAGAUAAUGACGGUAUCUAACGAAUAAGCACCGGCUAACUCCGUGCCAGCAGCCGCGGUAAUACGGAGGGUGCAAGCGUUACUCGGAAUCACUGGGCGUAAAGAGCGCGUAGGCGGGGUAGCAAGGCAGAUGUGAAAGCCUAGGGCUUAACCAUAGAACUGCAUUUGAAACUGUUAUUCUAGAGUACGGGAGGGGUAGGUGGAAUUCUUGGUGUAGGGGUGAAAUGCGUAGAGAUCAAGAGGAAUACUCAUUGCGAAGGCGACCUGCUAGAACAUAACUGACGCUGAUGCGCGAAAGCGUGGGGAGCAAACAGGAUUAGAUACCCCUGUAGUC